UACGUAGGGGGCAAGCGUUGUCCGGAAUCAUUGGGCGUAAAGCGCGUGUAGGCGGUUCAGUAAGUCUGCUGUGAAAGUCCAGGGCUCAACCCUGGGAUGCCGGUGGAUACUGCUGGACUAGAGUGCGGAAGAGGCGAGUGGAAUUCCCGGUGUAGCGGUGAAAUGCGCAGAUAUCAGGAGGAACACCGGUGGCGAAGGCGGGUCUCUGGGCCGAUACUGACGCUGAGGAGCGAAAGCGUGGGGAGCGAACAGG
rnacentral:rRNA from 1 species